AAACUCGUUGCUCACCCUUGCUUGAAUAUAACAUUUCAGCUAAGAACGAAGUAGUCGGACGGUCUGAGAAGGACAAGGGCAAAGGCAAACUGCAGGAGUAAUUACUAUGAACAAAAUUUAUUAUGUUGUUGUGUAUAACCCUUUUUGUAUAUCUAAGGGUAAGUUUGUUACGUUAAGGUUAGAAAACCUGGGAUGAUGUAUUAAAUAUAUUAAUUAAUGAGAUGUAUGUUUCUAUUCAUAAAUAAAUGGGUAGUUAGAUGUUAUUUAUAUGUUGGAUCAUGAGCACCAAACUCGGGGUCAGGUAACCCGGAUUUGGGGGCGUCAUAGGUUGGUAUCAAAGCUGUAGGUUAUAAACCUUAAGUGGGUGGGGAAACCAUAGGAUUAUAACCAUAAGCGAGAUAGAGAAAACUCAUUUAGAGUUCUAAGUGAGGGAUUGACGAAGUGCAUCAAUAGUUAUAUGUGUGGACGCAUAGUGUGUAUUACUUUCGUACUUGUGAAGUACUAAUCAAGAUUGUUUAAAACUGAUUGUAGGAUGUCAGGUGAAGAUGAAAUGAAUACGGAUGUGUUAGUAGCUGUUGCACCAAUGCCAGUAGUCGAGGUGCCAGCGCAGAGCGAGUCAGUUGAGAAAGUUGGAAAAAAUAAACCUAUAGUGAAUCUGGGGAGUGAUCAUGAUGAGUAUCCUGAAAUGGAUCUGAAUGAAGAUGAAGAGGCAGAGUCUGAAGAAGUUAAGUUGGAGUUGGAAGUAAAGACUGAAGUAGGAGAGAAAGAUCAAGUAUCUGCAUAAGUUCAAGAGCUCUGGAGUAAAGUGUUUCUCUUGGAGGAGUUGUGGAAGACAGAGAGAGCAUUACGCGAGAUGACCGAAGAGAGGAACGAUUUGAAGGUGCAGGUGAAUAGAAUAAAGGCUGGAGGUGGUGGAUCAUCUGAGGAAAUAGUCAAGCAGAAGAAGAGCAUCGAUAAGAGGAAGAGGGACAAUGACAGUAAGUAGUAAUUCAGGAAAUUUAAAUUCGAAGAAGAAGCAAGUCUGUGGUAGGUGUGGAAAGACUCAUUUGGGAUAGUGUAUGAUGGGGAAGAAUAUGUGUUUCAACUGUGGACAAAAAGGACAUAUAUCGCCAAAUUGUCCAAAGCUAAAUAAGAGAAGGUGUUUUACAUGUGGAGG
rnacentral:lncRNA from 1 species